CCAAUUCUCUAGUCAGCUGGAAAACCCUGGCGGCGCACAAGGCCGGCAUACGGAUGCGCCGCCCACGGCCGUCGACCUUCGUGUGUCGGUCCUUGGACGGUUUCUUGAUCACAGGUUUCUUCGCGGCGGAAUCGUUGUUGCUGUUUUCGUUGCUGUUAUUACUAUUCGCGAUCGUGAUUGCUGUGGAGGUGACGGCGGCGGCGGCGGUGGCGGUGGUUGUAGUGGUGGUGGAGAUGGAGGAGGAAGAGGAGUGGGCUAGGUUUCUUGAUUGUUGCAUGGAGAUGGAGCCCAUGAAUGGACCAUGGAGUGGGGUUGGACCGGACCCAGAACCGGGUUCAGUUUGACUUUGGUUGUGGUGG
rnacentral:lncRNA from 1 species